rnacentral:rRNA from 1 species
GACGAACCGUGCGAGCGUUAUUCGGAAUCACUGGGCUUAAAGCGCGUGUAGGCGGGAGGGCACGUCCGUUGCUGAAAUCCCCCGGCUCAACCGGGGAACGGGCGCGGAUACGACUCUCCUCGAGGGGCGUAGGGGGACCUGGAACUUCCGGUGGAGCGGUGAAAUGCGUUGAGAUCGGAAGGAACGCCCGUGGCGAAAGCGAGGUCCUGGACGCCUACUGACGCUGAGACGCGAAAGCCAGGGGAGCGAACGGG